UAGAGGACAGGGGCAGGUGUACGGA
rnacentral:piRNA from 1 species